GCUGGGUGUGGUGGUGCACACCUGUAGUCCCAGCUACAGGGAGGCUGAAGGAGGAAGAUCACUUGAGCCCAGGAGUUUGAGGUUAUAGUGAACUACGAUUUUGCCACUGCACUCCAGCCUGGGUGACAGAGUGAGCCCCUCUUGCAA
ensembl:misc_RNA Metazoa_SRP Metazoan signal recognition particle RNA